UACAGAGGUCCCAAGCGUUGUUCGGAUUCAUUGGGCGUAAAGGGUGCGUAGGCGGCGCGGUAAGUCGGGUGUGAAAUCUCGGGGCUUAACUCCGAAACUGCAUUCGAUACUGCCGUGCUUGAGGACUGGAGAGGAGACUGGAAUUUACGGUGUAGCGGUGAAAUGCGUAGAUAUCGUAAGGAAGACCAGUGGCAAAGGCGGGUCUCUGGACAGUUCCUGACGCUGAGGCACGAAGGCCAGGGGAGCAAACGGG
rnacentral:rRNA from 1 species